CGUUUCUCUGGCCUCCCUAUAAAUUAAGAGCUCCUCUCAUCACAAUGUCACACGUAUUUUAGGUUUAGGGUUUGAUGUAUAGUCUCUCUCUGGUUCAGUUCUCGGCGGCCGCCGACGAAGUUGAGGAACCACCUCCCUGAAGUUAAGAUAGUUAACAUCUUCCCCAGCGCUCCAUCAGAUUUCGGGGAUCCGAGUCUGCUGCGUGUUCGGGAACUGUACGUGCAGAUCUAGGGUCUUCUAUCAGCGAUUCGUCAGAUUCCAAUUCAAACUGAGUAGUCGGAUGGUCGACUGUAAAGAGUUUGAAGUGGGAUUUGGCGAAUUGAGGGUCAAGAUUAAUAGAGCCGCACGUUGUCGGCACGCAGGAGAAACGGGUUUCUUGUUUUUGAUGGGUAGUCUGGAGAGGAUGAUCACUAUUUUUUCUUGAGGUAGGAUGAUCAUGUUCUUCACCAUAUCAAUCUUCAUCCAGAGAAAGAGAGGGUUGUUUGUUCUAUAAUAUAUAGAUAUAUGUAUAUACGUAUCUACUGUAUUGCUGCUUUUGUUAUGUAUUUGGUUUCAGGGAUCUUUAGAGUGGGAUAUCUGAACUGUCUCAGAUGAAGACGUGCACGACUACACUGGAGCUGCGGGAUCUUUAGAGUUGUUGGCUAGGUUGUAACUUCUACAAGUGAUUGAUAUCUCUAUUAUUGAGAGACUUGGAGUGGUGCUUUCUGUAGAGGCUUAGGUCUUUUUCGCUCCUGUUAAUAAGAAAACAAUGAUGUUGGCAACUUGGCAUUACUUUGUGUAAAGCUGUUGGCAUGGUCACGCAAGUAUUGAUGGCCACCGAUCUAUAGACCAUGGUGGAGCCAUAGUGAUGUGCCUCAUUUACUUUGUGGGAUAAGACUUGAGAGGUCUCUACCAGUUUUCCAUCAUUUGAUACUAUUAUUAACUGAAAGAAAAAAAACACGAAUGAGUAAUGUACAGAUCUAAUGUAUGGUAGUGUUGAUUUGUUCAUCCAUGCGCUAGCUUGAUGUAAUUGUUUUGUGCAGAUAGGUUUCUUUAGAGGUUUAAGGUGUUGUAUGUUAAGGUUUGAGGUAGUUUGUAGCCUAAAAUUGUGCGUUCGUUUAAAUGUGCGUUCGUUUAAGAACUACUCGGUAGAUGAUAGUUUUAUGAGUGUAGGGUUUGAG
rnacentral:lncRNA from 1 species